GUUUAACGGCCGCGGUAUUUUGACCGUGCAAAGGUAGCGCAAUCACUUGUCUUUUAAAUAAAGACCUGUAUGAAUGGCAUAACGAGGGCUAAACUGUCUCCUCACCCCAGUUAAUGAAAUUGAUCUUCCCGUGCAGAAGCGGGAAUUGACCCAUAAGACGAGAAGACCCUGUGGAGCUUCAGACAAAUAGAUGAAUUAUUAAACAAUAACACCAUAUAAAAGGUAACUAAAACAAUAACCUCAUCCUAAGUCUUUAGUUGGGGCGACCGCGGAGCAAAAUAAAACCUCCGUGAGGAAUGAGGUAAAAACCUUAUACCCAAGAAUGUCAUUUCUAAGUACCAAAAUAUUUGACCUAUAGAUCCGGCAAUAACCGAUCAACGAACCUAGUUACCCCAGGGAUAACAGCGCAAUCCUCUUUGAGAGUCCCUAUCGACAAGAGGGUUUACGACCUCGAUGUUGGAUCAGGACAUCCUAAUGGUGUAG
rnacentral:rRNA from 1 species